rnacentral:misc_RNA from 1 species
GAUGAAGAACGCAGCGAAAUGCGAUACUUGGUGUGAAUUGCAGAAUCCCGUGAACCAUCGAGUCUUUGAACGCAAGUUGCGCCCGAAGCCAUUAGGCCGAGGGCACGCCUACCUGGGCGUCACACGUCGUUGCCCCCCCAUCUACUCCUUCGGGAUUGCGGGGGGCGGAUGAUGGCCUCCCGUGCGCCUCGUCGCGCGGUUGGCAUAAAUGCCAAGUCCUCGGCGACGCACGCCACGACAAUCGGUGGUUGCGAAACCUCGGUUGCCCGUCGUGUGCGGUCGUCGCGCAUCGAGGGCUCGAAAAAAUUGCCGGGCUCCGGCUCGGCUUUCAACGCGACCCCAGGUCAGGCGGGGUUACCCGCUGAAUUUAAGCAUAUCAAUAAGCGGAGGA